AACGAACGCUGGCGGCAGGCCUAAAACAUGCAAGUCGAACGGGUGUAGCAAUACAUCAGUGGCGCACGGGUGAGUAACGCGUGGGAACAUGCCCCUUAGUACGGGACAACGUCGGGAAACUGACGCUAAUACCGUAUAAUAUCUCCGGAUCAAAGAUUUAUCGCUGAGGGAGUGGCCCGCGUCUGAUUAGCUAGUUGGUGAGGUAAUGGCUCACCAAGGCUACGAUCAGUAGCAGGUCUGAGAGGAUGAUCUGCCACACUGGGACUGAGACACGGCCCAGACUCCUACGGGAGGCAGCAGUUAGGAAUAUUGGACAAUGGGCGAAAGCCUGAUCCAGCCAUGCCGCGUGUGUGAUGAAGGCCCUAGGGUUGUAAAGCACUUUCGUUGGGGAUGAUAAUGAC
rnacentral:rRNA from 1 species